GAUGAACGCUAGCGGGAGGCCUAACACAUGCAAGCCGAGCGGUAUUUGUCUUUCGGGACAGAGAGAGCGGCGUACGGGUGCGGAACACGUGUGCAACCUGCCUUUAUCAGGGGGAUAGCCUUUCGAAAGGAAGAUUAAUACCCCAUAAUAUAUUGAAUGGCAUCAUUUGAUAUUGAAAACUCCGGUGGAUAGAGAUGGGCACGCGCAAGAUUAGAUAGUUGGUAGGGUAACGGCCUACCAAGUCAGUGAUCUUUAGGGGGCAUGAGAGGGUGAUCCCCCACACUGGUACUGAGACACGGACCAGACUCCUACGGGAGGCAGCAGUGAGGAAUAUUGGACAAUGGGUGAGAGCCUGAGCCAGCCAUCCCGCGUGAAGGACGACGGCCCUAUGGGUUGUAAACUUCUUUUGUAUAGGGAUAAACCUAGAUACGUGUAUCUAGCUGAAGGUACUAUACGAAUAAGCACCGGCUAACUCCGUGCCAGCAGCCGCCGUAA
rnacentral:rRNA from 1 species